rnacentral:lncRNA from 1 species
CUUGCUUGAUUGGAAGAGUGCAAUUUGAGUAAUUAAAGAAGCGAUGCUUAGUUAGAUGUACUUACGAGGAUCUCAGGGCACAAGAUUUUGGUUGUCCAAUACCCUAAUUAACUCAAAUUUUAAUCGGUAAUUAACAUUAUCCGUAUACAUUGGAAUUGUACACCGCAUACAUUGGAAUUGUUCUCGGAAGGAAACUCUAAAGCAAUUACAUCAAAGAAGCGUCCACCACAGAUUGCUGCAUGCAUGCAUGCACGCACGCA